rnacentral:rRNA from 1 species
AGCAGUCGCCGCGGGAAUACAGAGGGUGCGAGCGUUAAUCGGAUUUACUGGGCGUAAAGCGUGCGUAGGCGGCUUCUUAAGUCGGAUGUGAAAUCCCUGAGCUUAACUUAGGAAUUGCAUUUCGAUACUGGGAAGCUAGAGUAUGGGAGAGGAUGGUAGAAUUCCAGGUGUAGCGGUGAAAUGCGUAGAGAUCUGGAGGAAUACCGAUGGCGAAGGCAGCCAUCUGGCCUAAUACUGACGCUGAGGUACGAAAGCAUGGGGAGCAAACAGGAUUAGAUACCCCCGUAGUCCCUGUCUCUUUAC